CAGUCGCCGCGGUAAUACGAAGGGUGCAAGCGUUAAUCGGAAUUACUGGGCGUAAAGCGUGCGCAGGCGGUUUGUUAAGACAGAUGUGAAAUCCCCGGGCUCAACCUGGGAACUGCAUUUGUGACUGGCAAGCUAGAGUGUGGCAGAGGGGGGUGGAAUUCCGCGUGUAGCAGUGAAAUGCGUAGAUAUGCGGAGGAACACCGAUGGCGAAGGCAGCCCCCUGGGCCAAUACUGACGCUCAUGCACGAAAGCGUGGGGAGCAAACAGGAUUAGAUACCCCCGUAGCCCUGUCUCUUAUACA
rnacentral:rRNA from 1 species